GGGUUGUGAGGUUAAGCGACUAAGCGUACACGGUGGAUGCCCUGGCAGUCAGAGGCGAUGAAGGGCGUGCUAAUCUGCGAUAAGCGCCGGUAAGGUGAUAUGAACCGUUAUAACCGGCGAUACCCGAAUGGGGAAACCCAGUGUGACUCGUCACACUAUCAUUAACUGAAUCCAUAGGUUAAUGAGGCGAACCGGGGGAACU
rnacentral:rRNA from 3 species